rnacentral:rRNA from 1 species
UCGACGGUGAUCUCGGUGCUUGCACCGGGUGAUCAGUGGCGAACGGGUGAGUAACACGUGAGCAACCUGCCCCCGACCCUGGGAUAACCCCGAGAAAUCGGAGCUAAUACCGGAUACGAGACGCACAGGCAUCUGUAGCGUCUGGAAAGAUUCAUCGGUCAGGGAUGGGCUCGCGGCCUAUCAGCUAGUUGGUGAGGUAGUGGCUCACCAAGGCGACGACGGGUAGCCGGCCUGAGAGGGCGACCGGCCACACUGGGACUGAGACACGGCCCAGACUCCUACGGGAGGCAGCAGUGGGGAAUAUUGCACAAUGGGCGCAAGCCUGAUGCAGCGACGCCGCGUGGGGGAUGAAGGCCUUCGGGUUGUAAACCCCUUUCAGCAGGGAAGAAGCGAAAGUGACGGUACCUGCAGAAGAAGCGCCGGCUAACUACGUGCCAGCAGCCGCGGUAAUACGUAGGGCGCAAGCGUUGUCCGGAUUUAUUGGGCGUAAAGAGCUCGUAGGCGGUUUGUCGCGUCUGCUGUGAAAACCCGAGGCUCAACCUCGGGCCUGCAGUGGGUACGGGCAGACUAGAGUGCGGUAGGGGAGACUGGAAUUCCUGGUGUAGCGGUGGAAUGCGCAGAUAUCAGGAGGAACACCGAUGGCGAAGGCAGGUCUCUGGGCCGCAACUGACGCUGAGGAGCGAAAGCAUGGGGAGCGAACAGGAUUAGAUACCCUGGUAGUCCAUGCCGUAAACGUUGGGCACUAGGUGUGGGGCUCAUUCCACG